rnacentral:rRNA from 1 species
UACAGAGGGUGCGAGCGUUGUUCGGAAUUAUUGGGCGUAAAGGGCGCGUAGGCGGUGCGGUAAGUCACCUGUGAAAUCUCCUGGCUCAACUGGGAGCUUGCAGGCGAAACUGCCGUGCUGGAGUGUGGGAGAGGUGCGUGGAAUUCCUGGUGUAGCGGUGAAAUGCGUAGAUAUCAGGAGGAACACCUGUGGCGAAAGCGGCGCACUGGACCACAACUGACGCUGAGGCUCGAAAGCUAGGGGAGCAAACAGG